AGAAAGUUCAGAAUAAGUCAGAUAAUGCACUAUUGGUUGCUCAGAAUAUAUCCCAUUAAGGGAUAAAAACCAGGACCAGAAAAUGCAGCAUUUGUCAUGACACCCUAAGUGUUGAAGGACUUUUAAAAACACGGAGACACAAUUGGUUGAAAGAUAAACAAUUACUCCCCAGGAGAGGAAACCACAUUAUUUCCAUGGGAACUCUUGCCUUCAAUUCCUUUGGUCUCCUUUCCUGUCCCCUGCAACAGUCCAGUGCUGAUCCUGAACGGACAUGGAUAUGCACAUUUGUGCAUUUCAGCAGACUGGGAAGGCAAAUGGAUGCCGAAGAUCUGGCAUUGAAGACAAGGAUAUUUCAAGGAUCAGGGUCUCAGAAUAAGAAUUCAAGGAUCUGUUAUCAGGGAGAGGAGAUGUUUAUUUAUAAUGAUCAUACCCAAAGCUUGGAUAUUCACAAGGAUAAUGUAUUGCUUUCGCAUUCAAGCUUUUUUUCUUAGUAAAAAGUUAAAUUAAACUUUACGUAACAGAAAAAAAGAUUUUUCUUCAAUUGUUAUAAGGAAUCCAAUGUUGUUUUAAUGAACAAUG
rnacentral:lncRNA from 11 species